ensembl:lncRNA
GCUUCCCAAUUUCCAGUUUAGUUUUUCUACCUUUUACUUUCAUUUGGGACACCAGCUUCAAACAGCUGAAAAUACAACAUUUUUGGUUCUGGAAAUAUAUUUCACAGUGGUUUAGAUGGUACAAUGAUUCUCUACACAAUGACUGCUUGUUUUGUCACAUAAACUGACAUGAGGCAAACUAUUCGAAUUUUUGCAACUUGGAAAUGGCAGAGAUUUCUGCAUAUUGCACAUUUUAAGUAUCCAGUCUGUGUUUGCAGGUAUGGCAUGCGUGAGUUUGUGGUCAUCUCCCCUGGGGCCAACUGGGAGGCAGUCAUCACCAGGUGCCGAUGUUUGUUCAGGUCCAGCAGAAGUGGAGGAGGAUGUACCGUGGGGAGUGCCAGGGACCGGGGAUGCGUACAGACCCUGAGAUGGUCCACCUCCGCAAGGUGCCCAGACAAUACAACCACCUCUCAGGCCUGCUGGACAUCUUUAAGUCCAAGACGGUCUGUCCCCUGUCUCCUCUUCCUCCCAUCAACACCGCUAUCCGCUUCACGUACGUCCUGCAGGACUGGCAGCAGUACUCCUGGCCUCAGCUGCCCCCAGACUUCGACGGUCUCCUCAGAGGGGAGGUGUGAGGGGUGGAGUUUGGGAAGCUGCCGUUCAGAGCGUGUGAGGAUCCAAUCAGGUGACUUCCUGACAGAGUUCUUUAAGCUGUGCUCCAAGAAGGAGUCAGAGGAGAUUCUGGGAAGAGGUCCAUUUGAGGAGGAAGGUAGGUCAUGUGUUCUAUGGCUACUGGGGUGUAUCUCAAUAGUCUUAACAUCUCUUUCUUUAAUUUUCCAAUAUAACAUUUUAUUCGUAACAUGCGCUGAAUACAACAGGUGUAGACCUUACAGUGAGAUGCUGAAUACAACAGGUGUAGACCUUACAGUGAGAUGCUGAAUACAACAGGUGUAGACCUUACAGUGAAAUGCUUACGUACGAGCCCCUAACCAACAAUGCAGUUUAAAAAAAUAUGAAUAAGAAAUAAAGGUAACAAGUAAUUAAAGAGCAGCAGUAAAAUAACAAUAGCGAGGCUAUGUACAGAGUCAAUGUGCGGGGUCACUGAUUAGUCGAGGUAAUUGAGGUAAUAUGUACAUGUAGGUAGAGUUAUUAAAUUUACUAUGCAUAGAUGAUAACAACAGAGAGUAGCAGUGGUGUAAAAGGGUGGGAGGGGCAAUGCAAAUAGUCUGGGUAGCCAUUUGAUUAGAUGUUCAGGAGUCUUAUGGCUUGGGGGUAGAAGCUGUUUAGAAGCCUCUUGGACCAAGACUUGGCGCUCCGGUACUGCUUGCCUUGCGGUAGCAGAGAGAACAGUCUAUGACUAGGGUGGCUGGAGACUUUGACAAUGUUUAGAGCCUUCCUCUGACACCGCCUGGUAUAGAGGCCCUGGAUGGCAGGAAGCUUGGCCCCAGUGAUGUACUGGGCUGUGCGCACUACCCUCUGUAGUGCCUUGUGGUCGGAGGCCGAACAGUUGCCAUACCAGGCAGUGAUGCAACCAGGAUGCUCUCGAUGGUGCAGAUGUAGAACCUUUUGAGGAUCUGAGGACCCAUGCCAAAUAUGUUCAGUCUCCUGAGGGGGAAUAUGUUUUGUUGUGCCCGCUUCACGACUGUCUUGGUGUGCACGGACCAUGUUAGUUUGUUGGUGAUGUGGACACCAAUAUGGUGUAUUCUCUAGGGGGAUUUGUGCAGACGUCAGUGCAGAUGAUGGGAAGUAGAAGCCACUCUGGACUCUUGGCUUGUUGUUUGCUUGUGAAGGGAGAAUUGCGCUCUCUUCUCAGUCAGAGCCCACCCUCACACCCUCCCUGUGAAUGGCUUCUCUGUCCCUCCCCCUCCACUCUCUCCUCAUUAGACGACAUCAGCCCUGUCUAAACUGACGGAGCCCACAGCCGUGCCCAUCCCCAAGCUGUCUGUCUCCAACAUGGUGCACAGCGCCCGCUAACGCUAACGCCGCCACCGCCGCAUUGACGAAUCACCGCUCAGAAAUGACGUGCUCAACUCUAUACCGCUGGUGAGAGAGAGCAGGCAUGACAACGGACACACAGACACACACACACUCUUACCUUCUAAAGGCAUAUGGUGAUUUAGGCUGGCUGACAUUGUACUACACAAGAGGAGAGCAGGAGAGUCUUCAGCCAGACUCCUCAGUUACUGGCCCUGCUGUGUGAACAGCUUCUUGAUCAGCCGUGAAGCCAUUGCUCAAGCAGUACCUUAUUCCCUACUUGCUCACACUGCCAUUGGCCUAGACCUGCCCCCCCCCCCCAGCGCACGUUUUGUUGUUUACCCUAGCACUACACAGCUGCUUCAAAUAUCAACAUCAUCAAGCUUUGUGUAGUGCUAGGGAAGGACACAGGAUACCCUGUAUUGUGUAGUGUUAGGGUAUGACACAGGAUACCCUGUAUUGUGUAGUGUUAGGGUAGGACACAGGAUACCCUGUAUUGUGUAGUGCUAGGGUAUGACACAGGAUACCCUGUAUUGUGUAGUGCUAGGGUAGGACACAGGAUACCCUGUAUUGUGUAGUGCUAGGGUAGGACACAGGAUACCCUGUAUUGUGUAGUGCUAGGGUAGGACACAGGAUACCCUGUAUUGUGUAGUGCUAGGGUAUGACACAGGAUACCCUGUAUUGUGUUGUGCUAGGGUAUGACACAGGAUACCCUGUAUUGUGUAGUGCUAGGGUAUGACACAGGAUACCCUGUAUUGUGUAGUGCUAGGGUAGGACACAGGAUACCCUGUAUUGUGUAGCGCUAGGGUAGGACACAGGAUACCCUGUAUUGUGUAGCGCUAGGGUAGGACACAGGAUACCCUGUAUUGUGUAGCGCUAGGGUAGGACACAGGAUACCCUGUAUUGUGUAGCGCUAGGGUAGGACACAGGAUACCCUGUAUUGUGUAGCGCUAGGGUAGGACACAGGAUACCCUGUAUUGUGUAGCGCUAGGGUAGGACACAGGAUACCCUGUAUUGUGUAGCGCUAGGGUAGGACACAGGAUACCCUGUAUUGUGUAGCGCUAGGGUAGGACACAGGAUACCCUGUAUUGUGUAGCGCUAGGGUAGGACACAGGAUACCCUGUAUUGUGUAGCGCUAGGGUAGGACACAGGAUACCCUGUAUUGUGUAGCGCUAGGGUAGGACACAGGAUACCCUGUAUUGUGUAGCGCUAGGGUAGGACACAGGAUACCCUGUAUUGUGUAGCGCUAGGGUAGGACACAGGAUACCCUGUAUUGUGUAGCGCUAGGGUAGGACACAGGAUACCCUGUAUUGUGUAGCGCUAGGGUAGGACACAGGAUACCCUGUAUUGUGUAGCGCUAGGGUAGGACACAGGAUACCCUGUAUUGUGUAGCGCUAGGGUAGGACACAGGAUACCCUGUAUUGUGUAGCGCUAGGGUAGGACACAGGAUACCCUGUAUUGUGUAGCGCUAGGGUAGGACACAGGAUACCCUGUAUUGUGUAGCGCUAGGGUAGGACCGAGUUUAGGAAACCCUGUGUUAGAGGCUCAGUGGUAAGUCAGACAGUUGUUAAAUAAAACAUUCAAAUCAGACACUCGGUUCGUAGCAGGAUUGUUCCUUCAGAGAUGUUUUGUGUCAAGGUAAGGAAAUGGAUGUUCCCAUGUACGAGAGUAUGUACGCUUAUAUUUGUGUGUGUAUGGUGUCAGUAUCUCUUCCCAGACGCAGCCAAAGGUAAACAGUCAUCAGAGAACAGCGAGAGAAAGGCUGCUCCAUCACACACCGACGGGGAACCAGAAGGGAAGGAUUCUGACGACUAUGUAGGUCUGCUGUCUGUGCUUUACCACACUAUCACUGUGUCACACUGCACUCCAGGGCUGUGUUCAGUAGUCACUGUGUCACACUGCACUCCAGGGCUGUGUUCAGUAGUCACUGUGUCACACUGCACUCCAGGGCUGUGUUCAGUAGUCACUGUGUCACACUGCACUCCAGGGCUGUGUUCAGUAGUCACUGUGUCACACUGCACUCCAUGACUGUGUUCAGUAGUCACUGUGUCAGACACACUGCACUCCAGGGCUGUGUUCAGUAGUCACUGUGUCACACUGCACUCCAGGGCUGUGUUCAGUAGGCAACUUCUACCGUGGAGGGGUCCGGGCCGUGGCUCACCUCUGGCAGAAGUUUGUCCUGGGGAUGAGAUACCGUUGGGAGAACAACGACCUCGUCUAUGGGUGAGAAGAACCAGAUUUGAGCUGGAUUACACUUUCUAUUACUCCCCAAUAGGGGAAACAACAACAGAUUUAUCAUUAGGACCAAUUCUAAACUACCUAGUCUUCUGGUGAGAACAUGGUCCUAUUUAUUACGCAACAAACAGAAGAAAAUGGACUAGUUCGGUCCAGUAAGAAACUAUAUAUUUUCUGUUUUCCCUUUUGCUACGGUGUGCCCCGAUGAAUAAGACCCCAGAUUAUAACACCUUCGAUUGCUACCUAAUGGGACACAGUAACAAGCACAGCAUCGAUUGGGAUCAAAUCCAUUUAUAUUCCUGUCAAUUUAAGUUCAUAUGGAAUUGGUCCAUUUUAAUAGACAUCUACUCAGACAUCCACCCAGUCAAUUCCUGAAGGGUUCUGUAAUAGAAAAACAUUGGAUUGAACCUGAACUGGAAUCCCAUCAAUAAUGAGGUUUAGGAUAUACACUGUGACAGUAC